rnacentral:sRNA from 1 species
ACAUCCAGGACCAUUCCUGUCUGAGGGCCGGCU